UCUGCUUUCAAGUUUAUACAGUGUAGGCGACUUGCCAUAAGGUAUGUUAAAACCGCUUGCCAUGGAACUGCCCGGUCAUGGACAACGGCAUUUGCAAGCAACCUAAUCUAACGUCAAGGGACUCUGCUUUCAAGUUCAUUCAGUGUGUUCCCAAAUUCUUCAAGACAUUUAAUGAUGUUUUCCCCCAUAACAUGCAAUAAUUUUAAACAUGUUACAUAAUAUGCCGGUGUUGAAGUGUUUAGAUUCCCAGCGUUAGGCAUUUUAACAGCAACUAUGCGCUAACAGGCUACCCCGUCAGAGCAGCUUAAUUAGCGAUAACGUACGGAGAUGAUUCUGUAGCCUCUUUGACAGCUCAGGGAUAUCAAUGCAGUGGUAUGUAACCUACAUACGGUAUUUGUGUUUUUGCAAGCUAACUUUUAGCAUGAUCUUCAUAUUCAUUGUGAUGCUAUAUGGGCCUCAUGCACAUGAAAGAUUAUGUCAUGUCAUUAUGUUGUUCGGAACACACCGUGAAAUACAGUUUUCCCAUUACAACUUUGCUGAUAACAUUUCAAAUAAAUAAAAAAAAAGUUAGCACACUAUGAUGACAUUGUUAUGUCUCAUCAAAAUUCACUGAUGAAGGAUGGUUCGCUUUAUCCCAGAAAACCACACUUGUUUCACUUAGGCUAUAAGCCUAGACUAAACCUGAAGAGAUGAACUUAGCACUAAUCAUGUAGUGGUGUUUUAUAAAUUUUAUAAACGGGACUCUGUGUACCUUUGUAAAUCUGAACACUUCCGUGUGCACCAACCAGCGGAAUAUUACACAUUGCCAGCCUUCGCUGGGCCUAGCAAAAAAGCUACUUAAGACUACUAUCGUGGUCACUCAUUUAAAAUCUUCAGUAGUACGCUGUGCAGCAUCCCACGUUAUCAGGCUACCGUCUAUGCUGACUAUGAGGGUGAUGGGAAGUGAAAGUAAAGGGCUGCGAUCGUGCAGUCCAGGCUAUAGGAGGGCGAAGUAAAAAAACUUUUACAAAUAACGAAUCCUGAUUACCACUCCGCUGCUGUCUGGGACUUUUGCUAAAUGCAUGAAAUACAAGCCUUACAGUGAAAGACGGAUAGGUUACCUUCUGAUCCUAUAAUUGAUGAUAUCGUCCAUCGGCACAACCCUAAUGGUGGACCAGAAUGAGUAAAUUAAGUGAUGCAAGUUUCUGAUUAUUAUGCUAUGUUUAUUAUGUAGAAUGGAAAAAAAGUCAGGGAUAAUACCAAGUAGAAUUCGGGACAGCUGGGGGACACUGAGGAAAAAAGUUAAUUUCGAGCCCUGCCUUUAGGAAGACAUACUGUACAACUGUGAACAUUUUUAGAUUUGAUCAGUACAGAAAAAGAAAAUGUGAUUUUGACCUUUACUGUACUACUAAUUUUGCAUCAGGAAAGCCUAUAUCUUAUAGUGGCCUUCGAUGAAGGAGCGAGUGGACCGGUUGCAAGGGAAUGGUUUACAGGUAGGCCAGGGCAAUGAAGUGGAAAUAUUUAUCUUUGACCAUCAUUAUAAUGACCUAGAUAAGGCUACAGGAGAACUCGAUUGUCAACAUCAGGUUAAUGCUGGGAUGGGCCCUCUGGUAGAGUGCAUACAGGUCUGCUGUGGUUGGACAGUGUGUGAUUGGGAGGGGAGGUAGGAUGCGGAGAGGCAAGCAUGUAUGCUCUUGUGGUAUGUUGUAUGUUGUCUUUCUUCUAUGUUGAGUGCUGUAACGUUCCAAAUUUUAUGUUUUAUGUUGGUAUAGAUAUUUGUCAACUGUCUGUCACUGUCAAUAAAUGUUUUGUGUUUUUUAUCACUCAGGCAAAUAUGAUGGAGGCAUGGCUUGGUGGCCUCCAUAUAAAGACUCAUACAAAAUACUGCAAAGUGUUAAAGAGAACUUCACCUAACCCAUCUAAAGGAUGGAAACAGUACUCUUGUCGAGUACUACAUGAGACAAACUGCUUUGAAAGUGUCAGUAGGAGAUGGGGGCUGUCCUGCAACACCUCUGAUCUGAACACGGACAAAGAGGAGCUGCCAGUAGUUCGCCAGCGGAAAAGACCAUCGCGACUUAGAUCACCAUCACCAUCACCACCAUCAUCCCCUGCAUCGUGCCAAAAUGCACCACAAACAUCACAGGCAAAGAAGAAGAAAGCCAUAAGGUUUUUGGAAAACCUUCCAAAAACAUCCCUCCUCCCCCUCCCCUCCUACCUAUGGCUGGAAACAACAUCAGAGCUGUGACAAACAGGGAGCAGCCUUCUGUAGCCCACCCAAGUUUCCAUCAAAGGAGCAAGCCUAUGUCAGUGAGAAGAAAGCUGGCCCACCCUCCCACCCCUCGUUUAACUCCUCCAGCCCAUCCCACAUCAUCGUAUAGUGAAAAGACAGCAGUUAAUAUUCAAGAAGAGGCGCCGGGACUGGAGGACUGAAGGCUUUCCUGACUUGACACUGGAUAAUAACGAAGGACUGUUGCAGCAGCCUCCACGCCAACCUCUUCCAGAGCUCCUUCAGAGGACUAACGAUAUGAUUACAUCAGUGAAUGAGGACCUUCUUACUGAAUUGACAACUGUUAAUUGGCAGCAGGAAGCCGAAAAUGAAGGGCUGGGCUCUCCUGAACUGCCACAAGAUGAUUGGCAGCAAGAGACACCCAAUGAUGAAGGGAUGUGCUCUCCUGAAUUGUCCCAUCUAUCCCGUCCAGACCUUCCACACAGGAUCCCUCAAACUAUGUCCCCUCUAUCGCGUCCAGACCUUCCACACAGGAUCCCUCAAACUACUGUUGAAAGGCUCCUUUUGGAGCAGGUCGGAGAACUGCAGCUAAAAAUGGAUUAUCCAAAAAAAUAAUUCUGUUCCACACGACGACUUUAAUUUGAACAUGCUCCCACUACGUACACUGCAAGAUCUGGAAACUUUUGAUGCCAAACUUAGGACCGAUAGCACCUUUAAGAAGAAAGUGAUAACUAAACUGUCAUUGUCUGGUGGCAAAACCUUGAAGGAAACGGUCUGGAGAAUAUGUACAAAGUUCUUUCAUCAAGAUCUAUCAACCCAGCUCAACUGGUGCGGUAGGGGAGAGAAGACAGGCCUUAAAUCCAGGCCUAUUCAUCAGGUACUCCUGAGUUCGGUGUUAAAAAAUCCUGCUCAACAAAAUUCAACUGAGGCUGAUGCCGAAAUGACCGUCAGAAACUGGCUGCGGCUGAGCAGGGACAGGAAUGGGGGGUGGCAAAGGAAUUAAUUGACUGGACUGAACUGACUAACUCACUGACUAUUUUUCUUUUGAACUGAUCCUUAAAUUCAGGCAUUCAAAUUAAACUUCAUUAAAAAACA